rnacentral:rRNA from 1 species
GAUGAACGCUGGCGGCGUGCUUAACACAUGCAAGUCGAACGGAAAGGCCCAAGCUUGCUUGGGUACUCGAGUGGCGAACGGGUGAGUAACACGUGGGUGAUCUGCCCCGCACUUCGGGAUAAGCCUGGGAAACUGGGUCUAAUACCGGAUAGGACCACUUCUUGGAGGUUGUGGUGGAAAGUUUUUUCGGUGUGGGAUGAGCUCGCGGCCUAUCAGCUUGUUGGUGGGGUAAUGGCCUACCAAGGCGUCGACGGGUAGCCGGCCUGAGAGGGUGUACGGCCACAUUGGGACUGAGAUACGGCCCAGACUCCUACGGGAGGCAGCAGUGGGGAAUAUUGCACAAUGGGCGCAAGCCUGAUGCAGCGACGCCGCGUGGGGGAUGACGGCCUUCGGGUUGUAAACUCCUUUCGCUAGGGACGAAGCGCAAGUGACGGUACCUAGAGAAGAAGCACCGGCUAACUACGAG